CAAUAGCGUAUAUUAAAGUUGUUGCGGUAAAAAAGCUCGUAGUUGGGUUUCUACCGAAGAUAGCCGGUCGGGUCUUCGACCUUGUAUCUGGUUUUGUCUUUGGUAUCCUCAUAGGGAACGUUUCUGCGCUUUAUUGCGUGGUGCGGUAUCUAUGACUUUUACUUUGAGGAAAUUAGAGUGUUCACGGCAGGCAAACGCCUUGAAUAUAUUAGCAUGGAAUAAUAACAUAGGAUCUUCGUCCUAUUUUGUUGGUUUCUAGGGCUAAGAUAAUGAUUAAUAGGGAUAAUUGGGGGCAUCUGUAUCAACGCGUCAGAGGUGGAAUUCUUGGAUUGCGUUGCGACAAACUACUGCGAAAGCAUUUGCCAAGGAUGUUUUCAUUGA
rnacentral:rRNA from 1 species